rnacentral:rRNA from 1 species
UACGUAGGGUGCGAGCGUUAAUCGGAAUUACUGGGCGUAAAGUGUGCGCAGGCGGCCUCGCGCGCCCGACGUGAAAGCCCCCGGCUUAACCGGGGAGGGUCGUUGGGGACGGCGGGGCUUGAGGGCGGGAGAGGUCGGUGGAAUUCCCGGUGUAGUGGUGAAAUGCGUAGAUAUUGGGAAGAACACCGGUGGCGAAGGCGGCUCACUGGCUCAUUACUGACGCUCAGGCGCGCCAGCGUGGGGAUCAAACAGG